CUGCUGGAAGACGAAGAAGCAGUUGUGGUGGAAGAUGCGCAUCUGGAGCACGUCUUCUGGCAGUAGGUGUUCACGAAGUCUUGGAGUCCGACGGUGGUACAGAUGGAGAUGUCGUUGGCGCAGGCCACAACAGAGUCGACACAUCC
ensembl:ncRNA Y46H3D.9 ncRNA